CCCGUCCUUAAACACGGACCAAGGAGUUUAUCGUGUGCGCAAGUUUUUGGGUGUUACAAACUUAAAAGCGAAAUGAAAGUAAAUGACUCUUUAGAGUCUGAUGUGCGAUCUUGUAAAAAAGUGUAGCAUGGCCCCAUUCUAACUGUUUACAGUAGGGUGGCGGAAGAGCGUACGCGGUGAGACCCGAAAGAUGGUGAACUAUUCCUGAGCAGGACGAAGCCAGAGGAAACUCUGGUGGAAGUCCGAAGCGGUUCUGACGUGCAAAUCGAUCGUCUGACUUGGGUAUAGGGGCGAAAGACUUAUCGAACCAUCUAGUAGCUGUUUUCCUUUC
rnacentral:rRNA from 1 species